rnacentral:rRNA from 1 species
GUUGAAGGUUGGGUAACACUAACUGGAGGACCGAACCGACUAAUGUUGAAAAAUUAGCGGAUGACUUGUGGCUGGGGGUGAAAGGCCAAUCAAACCGGGAGAUAGCUGGUUCUCCCCGAAAGCUAUUUAGGUAGCGCCUCGUGAAUUCAUCUCCGGGGGUAGAGCACUGUUUCGGCAAGGGGGUCAUCCCGACUUACCAACCCGAUGCAAACUGCGAAUACCGGAGAAUGUUAUCACGGGAGACACACGGCGGGUGCUAACGUCCGUCGUGAAGAGGGAAACAACCCAGACCGCCAGCUAAGGUCCCAAAGUCAUGGUUAAGUGGGAAACGAUGUGGGAAGGCCCAGACAGCCAGGAUGUUGGCUUAGAAGCAGCCAUCAUUUAAAGAAAGCGUAAUAGCUCACUGGUCGAGUCGGCCUGCGCGGAAGAUGUAACGGGGCUAAACCAUG